rnacentral:rRNA from 1 species
GGGAGUAGGGUUCGUACCAGAAGUAGGUAGGCUAACCGCAAGGGGCGGCUUACCACGGUAGGAGUUCAUGACUGGGGUG